UUCAUUGGGCGCAAGCCUGAUCCAGCAAUGCCGCGUGCAGGAUGAAGGCCUUCGGGUUGUAAACUGCUUUUGUACGGAACGAAACGGUCCUUUCUAAUACAAGGGGCUAAUGACGGUACCGUAAGAAUAAGCACCGGCUAACUACGUGCCAGCAGCCGCGGUAAUACGUAGGGUGCGAGCGUUAAUCGGAAUUACUGGGCGUAAAGCGUGCGCAGGCGGUUAUGUAAGACAGAUGUGAAAUCCCCGGGCUCAACCUGGGACCUGCAUUUGUGACUGCAUAGCUAGAGUACGGUAGAGGGGGAUGGAAUUCCGCGUGUAGCAGUGAAAUGCGUAGAUAUGCGGAGGAACACCGAUGGCGAAGGCAAUCCCCUGGACCUGUACUGACGCUCAUGCACGAAAGCGUGGGGAGCAAACAGGAUUAGAUACCCUGGUAGUCCACGCCCUAAACGAUGUCAACUGGUUGUUGGGUCUUCACUGACUCAGUAACGAAGCUAACGCGUGAAGUUGACCGCCUGGGGAGUACGGCCGCAAGGUUGAAACUCAAAGGAAA
rnacentral:rRNA from 2 species